rnacentral:tRNA from 2 species
UAGAAAGUGGUGUAGUGAAGCACUGAGGGUUUUGAGCUCUCUAGGUAGGGUUCAAGUCCCUUUUUUCUAA